CGAAGAGGCUGCACGCACAGCCGCUGCCGGGGGUCGGGGCCAAGUGCGCGCCUCGCCGAGGACGAAGAGGCUGGCGUGCCGGUGGCUCGGCUAGCUCCCGGGUCCCGGCCCCGCCUGGAGGAUGCGGCUGUGGGGGAAGGGGAGCGGCCGGACCUCCCAGCCUGACAGUGCAUCAAGAGCUUUGCGGAGCCUACAGCCCGGAUGGGACGACUGAGGCCCUCCCGCUGGCGAGCUGGCCGAGGGCUCGUCCCUCUCCAGCUAAAGCGCCAGCUUACGAUACAGCCAAACUGCCGGCUCUCAUCGGCUAUGGGAGCAGGAGGCCCCCAGGGGUAAAUCCCGGAGCCUCGUCUCUGAAGCCUGGCGCUUGUGUCUCAGAAGGCUGGAGUGCAAUAGCACCAUCUCGGCUCACUGCAACCUCUGCCUCCCAGGUUCAAGUGAUUCUCCUGCCUCAGCCUCCUGAGUAGCUAGGAUUACAGAUUUAUAGGAGCAUUGUGACUGGACCAAGGACAAAGAAGUUCCCAACCUCCUCGGACCCUCGCUGCUGCCCAGAUGUCUGCCAUGGGGUGGCCAUCAUCGAAUCCACUGAGGGCGCAAAUAGAACAAAAAGGUGAAGAAAAGGUGAAUUCUCUCCUUUCUUGAGCUGGGACAUCCAACUUCUCAGACAUCAGAGCUCCUGGAGGCCUUCAGACUCCGAGACAUUACACCAUUGGCUCACCUGGUCCUCAGGUCUUUGGACUUGGAGUGAAUUAAACCAUUGGCUUUCCAGGUCUUCCAGCUUGCAGAUGGCAGAUUGUGGGACUUUUCAGCCUCCAUAACUUUGUCAUCCAAUUCCCAUAAUAAAUCGCCUCUUAUA